rnacentral:misc_RNA from 1 species
CUCUUAUUUUAACCCUUUGCGGACGAGUGUUGGCAAAUAGCCUCCUAAGUCUUUUUACCGUUGCGGUCAGCAUAUAGUCGCCCGAAUCUGUUCACACUUCACUUAUUUUGAGGUAUGUGACAUACGUCUAUUUUUCUGAGAGAUGAUCUUAUGCGUACUUACGCAUGGGUAUAGUAAAACUAAACAAUAUUAUGAUUUUGAUGAAAGAAAAUUAUAGAUCUUUAGAAAUCUUAUCUUCCGUUUGACGUAAACUCGCGAUGUAGGAUGAUGGUCGAGUCUGAACGAAUUUCAGUCUUUCAAUGGCAUUACCAGACGAAUCAGUAAGCUUUUUAUAUAUUUUAUAUAUUUUUCAUAAUACCUUAUACACGAUGCCUAAAAGAUCCAGAAAGGACAUAUUCGAUAGUGA